UGUGUUUUUGUGUUUGAUUUAAUGUAAAGCACUUUGAAAUGCCUUGCUGCUGAAAUGUGCUAUACUAAUAAAAUGUGAUUGAUUGAUUGAUAAAAAGGAAGGAAACAUCUCCUGAGCCAAGUAAUGCCAGGAUGUUCUCUAUCAGCUCAGAGGACUGGUGAUCCCCCAAACCAUUCUAAUAUAGCCUUAUAUCCUCUGCUUCCAGAGUCCUUUUGCAGUAAAUCAACAAUAUCAAAUUUCAUUUUCAUAUUACUAAGAUUUCUUAUUAACUUGUUUCUCUGAUACAGAUAAUUCCUGCAACUUAAAAUAACAUGUUCCAAUGUCUCAUCUUCCCCACAGUCACAUUUCCCUGUCUGGUGUUUCCCUAUCAAAUAUAGUGAUCUAUUUACUCCAGUGUAUCCAAUUCUAAGUUGUAAAAUAAUGAUUUCUUCUCUUCUGUUUCUUUCCGUUCUUCUCAUUUGUCCAAUUCUCUUUUGGAUUUUAUAAAACCACCUUCCUUUCUUUUCCUCUACCCAUAACUUUUGCCACCUCUCUUUUAUUUUCUGUUUAAUUAUACCCUUUAUUUCUGUUAUACCAAAACUAACAUUAAUAUCUAUCCUUACCAGGUUGGUACUCUCCUUAGCCAUCCUGUCUGCUAUUUCAUUUCCCUUAAUCCCUUGAUGUGCUGGAGCCCAUACAAAAUUUACUGUUAACCCAUCAUAUUGAUUCUGUAAAGCGUUUGUUGUAUUUCCAUUAAUAUAUCUGGUCUACUUUCUGACUGAUUAUUUUACAAACUGACUAAUGAAGAACUAGAAUCUGAACAAAUGAUAGAUUUUAAUGGUCUGACCUCUUCCACCCAUUGAACUGCUAAAAGCAAAGCAAGCAUUUCUCCUGUAUACACUGAAACUCUGUCACUAAUCCUUUUCCCUACUUUAAUUUGAAACUGUGGGACAAUAAAUGUUAUCCCUACCCUACUAACUGUAUUUUUGAUGCAUCUGUGUAUAUUUGUAUAUAGUUAUAAUAUUUAUUUAAGAAUGUUUGUACUAUAUAUUUAUUCAUAAUGUGAUAUUUUUUUUGUUUUUGUUUUCUAAUAACAAAAAAUCAACUUUGGCAUCAGGAAGUAUCCAAGGUGGAACUGCAGACGAUGAGUCAACGACAGCAGCUCCAGCGCGCCAUCUGGUGGAGAACCUGAAGAGGUGGCAGGAGAUGGAAAUCCCACACAAAACCCCAAACCCCGACUCCUAACAAAUAUUAAACUUUACAAUGUAAAGUUUAUUUUAACAACAAAGCUUCUGCUCAGCAGUUUGACCCAAAGCUGAGUGACAAACAGUAAAGCGAAGCUGUGAAGAAGUGGCUCCUGCACCACAGUGGGAGGGUGACACCAAAGUGACACCACUUUGGUUCCUUGAGUCAAACUUGGGUUCCCAACACCUACUGUUUUCCUGGUUCAUACAGAAGAAGGCUGAACCUCCUGGACGCUGGUCUUCCAUGGACAACAGCUUGUUAUGACAGUCAAAAA